GACGAACGCUGGCGGCGUGCUUAACACAUGCAAGUCGAGCGAGGCCCCUCCUUCGGGAGGGUGUCCUAGCGGCGAACGGGUGAGUAUCACGUGGGCAACCUGCCCUCAGCUCUGGGAUAACUCCGGGAAACCGGGGCUAAUACCGGAUACGACCUCCACGGGCAUCUGCGGAGGUGGAAAGUUUUUCGGCUGAGGAUGGGCCCGCGGCCUAUCAGCUAGUUGGUGGGGUAGUGGCCCACCAAGGCGACGACGGGUAGCCGGCCUGAGAGGGCGACCGGCCACACUGGGACUGAGACACGGCCCAGACUCCUACGGGAGGCAGCAGUGGGGAAUAUUGCGCAAUGGGCGAAAGCCUGACGCAGCGACGCCGCGUGAGGGACGAAGGCCUUCGGGUUGUAAACCUCUUUCAGCAGGGACGAAGCGAAAGUGACGGUACCUGCAGAAGAAGCACCGGCCAACUACGUG
rnacentral:rRNA from 1 species